CCCUUAGAUGUUCUGGGCCGCACGCGUGCUACACUGAGUGGAUCAGCGGGUCAGGUUGCGCGAAAGUGUUUCCUAAUCUUGAAAUCCGCUCGUGAUGGGGAUUGACGGUUGCAAUUUUCCGUCAUGAACGAGGAAUACCUUGUAAGCGCGGGUCAUCAUCCCGCGCUGAAUACGUCCCUGCCCUUUGUACACACCGCCCGUCGCUCCUACCGAUUGAGUGGUCCGGUGAGGCUUUGGGAUCUGAGCAAAAAGAGCGUUUCGCCCGUUUGGCUCGGAAAACUCAGUCGAACCUUAUCAUUUAGAGGAAGGAGAAGUCGUAACA
rnacentral:rRNA from 1 species